rnacentral:rRNA from 1 species
GAGUUUGAUCCUGGCUCAGGAUGAACGCUAGCGGCAGGCCUAACACAUGCAAGUCGAGGGGUAUUCAGUUUUCGGACUGGAGAGACCGGCGCACGGGUGCGUAACGCGUAUGCAAUCUACCUUUUACAGGGGAAUAGCCCAGAGAAAUUUGGAUUAAUGCCCCAUAGUAUAUAAACUUCGCAUGUUGUUUAUAUUAAAGUUCCAACGGUAAAAGAUGAGCAUGCGUCCCAUUAGUUAGUUGGUAAGGUAACGGCUUACCAAGACGAUGAUGGGUAGGGGUCCUGAGAGGGAGAUCCCCCACACUGGUACUGAGACACGGACCAGACUCCUACGGGAGGCAGCAGUGAGGAAUAUUGGACAAUGGGCGCAAGCCUGAUCCAGCCAUGCCGCGUGCAGGAAGAAGCAUCUAUGGUGUGUAAACUGCUUUUGUACAGGAAGAAACACUCCCUCGUGAGGGAGCUUGACGGUACUGUAAGAAUAAGGAUCGGCUAACUCCGUGCCAGCAGCCGCGGUAAUACGGAGGAUCCAAGCGUUAUCCGGAAUCAUUGGGUUUAAAGGGUCCGUA